ACUCCUACGGGAGGCAGCAGUGGGGAAUAUUGCACAAUGGGCGCAAGCCUGAUGCAGCCAUGCCGCGUGUAUGAAGAAGGCCUUCGGGUUGUAAAGUACUUUCAGCGGGGAGGAAGGCAAUACGGUUAAUAACCGUGUUGAUUGACGUUACCCGCAGAAGAAGCACCGGCUAACUCCGUGCCAGCAGCCGCGGUAAUACGGAGGGUGCAAGCGUUAAUCGGAAUUACUGGGCGUAAAGCGCACGCAGGCGGUCUGUCAAGUCGGAUGUGAAAUCCCCGGGCUCAACCUGGGAACUGCAUUCGAAACUGGCAGGCUUGAGUCUUGUAGAGGGGGGUAGAAUUCCAGGUGUAGCGGUGAAAUGCGUAGAGAUCUGGAGGAAUACCGGUGGCGAAGGCGGCCCCCUGGACAAAGACUGACGCUCAGGUGCGAAAGCCUGGGGAGCAAACAGGAUUAGAAACCCUGGUAGUCCCAUGA
rnacentral:rRNA from 1 species